CACGUAGGGACCAAGCGUUGUCCGGAUUUAUUGGGCGUAAAGAGCUCGUAGGCGGCUCGUUGCGUCGGCUGUGAAAACCCGCAGCUCAACUGUGGGCUUGCAGCUGAUACGGGCGGGCUGGAGUUCGGUAGGGGAGACUGGAAUUCCUGGUGUAGCGGUGAAAUGCGCAGAUAUCAGGAGGAACACCAAUAGCGAAGGCAGCUCGCUGGGACGGUACUGACGCUGAGGCGCGAAAGCUAGGGGAGCAAACGGG
rnacentral:rRNA from 1 species